rnacentral:rRNA from 1 species
CAAUAGCGUAUAUUUAAGUUGUUGCAGUUAAAAAGCUCGUAGUUGGAUUUCUGCUGAUCGCUGUCGGUCUGCCGUCAGGUGUGUACUGGCAGUGUUUGGCAUCUAUUCGAGAUUGGGUGUCCACUUGAUUGUGUGCACUCGAUGUCGGAGCUAAUACUUUGAGAAAAUUAGAGUGUUCCACGCAGGCGCGUGCCUUGAAUACUGCAGCAUGGGAUAUUGGAAGGCCGAUUGAGCUUUCUUGUUGGUUCUCGGUUUGAUCGGAAUGAUUAAUAGGGAUAGUUGGGGGCAUUCGUAUUCAACUGUCAGAGGUGAAAUUCUUGGAUUUACGCAAGACAAACAGCUGCGAAAGCGUCUGCCAAGGAUGUUUUCAUUAA